rnacentral:rRNA from 1 species
AUUGAACGCUGGCGGCAGGCUUAACACAUGCAAGUCGCGCGGAGAGAGGUAGCUUGCUACUGAUCUUAGCGGCGGACGGGGGCGUAAUGCUUAGGAAUCUGCCUAUUAGUGGGGGCCAACAUUUCGAAAGGAAUGCUAAUACCGCAUACGUCCUAAGGGAGAAAGCAGGGGAUCUUUGGACCGUGCGCUAAUAGAUGAGCCUAAGUCGGGUUUGAUAGUUGGUGGGGUAAAGGCCUACCAAGGCGACGAUCUGUAGCGGGUCUGAGAGGAUGACCCGCCACACUGGGAAUGAGACACGGCCCAGACUCCUACGGGAGGCAGCAGUGGGGAAUAUUGGACAAUGGGCGCAAGCCUGAUCCAGCCAUGCCGCGUGUGUGAAGAAGGCCUUAUGGUUGUAAAGCACUUUAAGCGAGGAGGAGGCUACUUUAGUUAAUACCUAGAGAUAGUGGACGUUACUCGCAGAAUAAGCACCGGCUAACUCUGUGCCAGCAGCCGCGGUAACAC